UUUGCUGAAGUCCUCUCUGUUAUUUGUGGCGUGUCGAGAACUGAAAAAUGUAGUGAGUGGUUCGUGUUGUGAGAAGUUCUCGCUUAUUAUUUUUUUUGCAGUGAAUUUAUCUCCAACUAAUAUUACGAAUCUCCUUUCAGUCAGGAUAUGCUGAACAUGAACCAAGAAAUACAAUUCGUGAACAAUUCAACUGCCACGUUGGGCAUAAAUUAGCCAGUAAAAGAAUUCAAAAAAAGGAAGAAAAUUGAAAAUUUAUAGAUGACAGAUCAGACAUCACAUAUGUAGAUGAACUAGGAAUUACAAUAUUUCGUGAUCAAUUUCACUGCCACAUUUUGCAUAUUAGCCAGUAAAAGUCUUCAAACGAAGGAAGAAAAGAAGAAAACUGAAAAUUUAUAGAUGACAGAUCACAUAGAUGAACUAUAGUAGUAAGAUAUGAAGAAGUGGAUCAGAUCUACAUUCAAUUUAUUAUAAUUUUCGAUAGUCAGAUGUAAUUAUUUACACCGUGCUUACAUCUGUGCCUUACCCCUCUCACAUGUGACGUUUGCAAGAAGAAACUAUCCAGAGAUGAAAAAAAUUGAUUGCGUUGUUUUGGGGGAAAAACUCAAACUAUCUCGAGUGUGCGAUGAUCAUGAACCUAGUAUUAUACGAGAUCAAAGGUCGUGAAAUUUUGCGAACUUGUGACCGCGAUGAGAUGGCAGAUCGGACGACAGACUGGCUGAUGUAAUAAUACUUGGAUGGCACGACUCUGGUGCACUCUGGAGUUGAGGAGCAACUGGCAUUUGGAUUUUGGGGCUUGCUGAUCCUUCGAGGAAUUAUCAUCAUUAUCAUACUAUGGGUAUUGGGUAUAUACUCUCCUCCCUCUAACGAGGGAAGAGAGGUAAGAAUGUGUGCAAUAAUCUAAGAAUAUACUUCCUUGCUCACCUAGUGGCCAUCCAACAUGAUGGUGAGGUGAGUUUGGGAGGUAAGAUGUUCCUUAAAAAAUAAGGUUGUACUCGUUCGUAAUUCCUCGAUAAUAAAGAAAGGAGGAAUGCACACCCGAA